rnacentral:rRNA from 1 species
UACGGGGGGAGCAAGCGUUGUUCGGAUUUACUGGGCGUAAAGGGCGCGUAGGCGGCUUAUCAAGUCAGGCGUGAAAUUCCCGGGCUCAACCUGGGGGCUGCGCUUGAUACUGAUUGGCUUGAAUGCGGGAGAGGAUAGUGGAAUUCCCAGUGUAGAGGUGAAAUUCGUAGAUAUUGGGAAGAACACCGGUGGCGAAGGCGGCUAUCUGGCCCGUAAUUGACGCUGAGGCGCGAAAGCGUGGGGAGCAAACAGG